AGAAAAUUAGAAUAUUGUGAAAAGGUUCAAUAUUGAAGACACCUGGUGCCACACUCUAAUCAGCUAAUUAACUCAAAACACCUGCAAAGGCCUUUAAAUGGUCUCUCAGUCUAGUUCUGUAGGCUACACAAUCAUGGGGAAGACUGCUGACUUGACAGUUGUCCAAAAGACGACCAUUGACACCUUGCACAAGGAGGGCAAGACACAGAAGGUCAUUGCAAAAGAGGCUGGCUGUUCACAGAGCUCUGUGUCCAAGCACAUUAAUAGAGAGGCGAAGGGAAGAAAAAGAUGUGGUAGAAAAAAAGUGUACAAGCAAUAGGGAUAACCGCACCCUGGAGAGGAUUGUGAAACAAAACCCAUUCGAAAAUGUGGGGGAGAUUCACAAAGAGUGGACUGCAGCUGGAGUCAGUGCUUCAAGAACCACUACGCACAGACGUAUGCAAGACAUGGGUUUCAGCUGUCGCAUUCCUUGUGUCAAGCCACUCUUGAACAACAGACAGUGUCAGAAGCGUCUCGCCUGGGCUAAAGACAAAAAGGACUGGACUGCUGCUGAGUGGUCCAAAGUUAUGUUCUCUGAUGAAAGUAAAUUUCGCAUUUCCUUUGGAAAUCAGGGUCCCACAGUCUGGAGGAAGAGAGGAGAGGUACACAAUCCACGUUGCUUGAGGUCCAGUGUAAAGUUUCCACAGUCAGUGAUGGUUUGGGGUGCCAUGUCAUCUGCUGGUGUUGGUCCACUGUGUUUUCUGAGGUCCAAGGUCAACGCAGCCGUAUACCAGGAAGUUUUAGAGCACUUCAUGCUUCCUGCUGCUGACCAACUUCAUGGAGAUGCAGAUUUCAUUUUCCAACAGGACUUGGCACCUGCACACAGUGCCAAAGCUACCAGUUUCUUAAUUGGCCAGCAAACUCGCCUGACCUUAACCCCAUAGAAAAUCUAUGGGGUAUUGUGAAGAGGAAGAUGCGAUAUGCCAGACCCAACAAUGCAGAAGAGCUGAAGGCCACUAUCAGAGCAACCUGGGCUCUUAUAACACCUGAGCAGUGCCACAGACUGAUCGACUCCAUGCCACGCCGCAUUGCUGCAGUAAUUCAGGCAAAAGGAGCCCCAACUAAGUAUUGAGUGCUGUACAUGCUCAUACUUUUCAUGUUCAUACUUUUCAGUUGGCCAAGAUUUCUAAAAAUCCUUUCUUUGUAUUGGUCUUAAGUAAUAUUCUAAUUUUCUGAGAUACUGAAUUUGGGAUUUUCCUUAGUUGUCAGUUAUAAUCAUCAAAAUUAAAAGAAAUAAACAUUUGAAAUAUAUCAGUCUGUGUGUAAUGAAUGAAUAUAAUAUACAAGUUUCACUUUUUGAAUGGAAUUAGUGAAAUAAAUCAACUUUUUGAUGAUAUUCUAAUUAUAUGACCAGCACCUGUGUAUAUAUAUAUAUAUAUAUAUAGCCUAUAAGCCAAAUAUGACUUUUCUACUUUUCAAUAAUAUCUCUUGAUUGAUGAAAAAAAUAAAUAAAAUAAAAAUUAUAAAAUAAAUAAAUAAAUAAAAAUUCAUUAUGUGUUUCAAAGGAAUUGGGCUUUGUAGAAAUGACAGAGUGGAAGGAUGGACUGUAGGAAUGGUCAAACUACACUGUUUACAGUAGGCUAUAACAAUUUCUUUAUAACCAUUCAAUGUUAUAAGAUAUCACAAACUAGGCUGCAAUAAUAUAACUUCAUAUUUAAAAAUUGCUAUUACACAUAAUGUAAUGUCAGUUAUGUAAUGUCUAAAAUAAAAUGUCAGAAGAUUUACUACAUGUCGCAUAGAUUGUGGUCACUUGCACAUCAUGAUGCCUUCGCAUGUUCAGUAUCCGUUCAUUUGCUUUGGUCGAAAACCAUCUCCAGUUACAAAUUUCCCUAUUUCUCUCUCCCUCUCUUUCUCUCUCGACUUUCAGCGGAGCUAGAUCUCCUCCAAAGACACUUCUGUCUUAUAUUUCUUUACCUACAUCCUCAUUUCAUUACCGCAGCACACACUGGACAUUUAACAUGAUAGAAAUUACAGCCUGUUUUAGCAAUGACUCCAAUAUUAUCCAUUCAUACCCCAAAUCAGAGCAAUUAUUUGCGUUUGCGUCUCAGAGUAAGGACACACUUGAGGUUUAAAGGGAUGCUGCUCAGGACGCGGUGCGCAGGAGACGGGCCUGUGCGCCAUCCAUCCCUACCCACAUUCUCAGGGAGGAGGGGGAGACGGGCUCGUGCGGGUGGGUGACAAACAGAGGUAGAAGACACAGAAGGCGCGUGUGCAUGUGUUGCUCUUCAGUCUGUAACGACACUGGAGCCGAAUGAAUGAACUUCACAGAAGCGCGCAUCAUUUUAGGCAGGUUUUGAGGCAUUUUGAGAUUAGCUUCAGAGACUAAUGGAUAUAAUGUCAUAGUGACAGCAAUGUGCAAGGACUGAAUGUUUAUUAAAAAAACCUUUUUGAGUCAGAAGUCCAGUUAAACAAAUGCAUGUUUUCUGUAGUUUUGUAUGUUUAGUGUUAAAGACUGUCUUUAAACAUUUUUCAUAAAGGCAAAGCUGCAAAACGGCCAAUAAUGUUUUAUGUGUACAGUGUUUAAAAGGAAGGAAUCCCAAGCUAUUUGUUGCAUGAUCUCUUCAAUAAGUAACGAAUAAAAUAGUAUAACAAAAUAUAAUUUUAAAUAUAUGUAUAUGCAGUGUUGGGGUAACGCAUUACAAGUAAUGUGAGUUACAUAAUCAGAAUACUUUUUUCAAGAAACUAGUGAAGUAACACAUUACUUUUAAAUUUACAAUGAAAUAUCUGUUACGUUGUCAUAUAAGUAACACAAGUUACUUUGUUUUCAUGUACUGACAGCUCUCCUAUCCCCAUGUUGAGAGAAAUAAAGUGCAGAGGUGUUGUG